GAUGAACGCUGGCGGCGUGCCUAAUACAUGCAAGUCGAGCGAAUGGAUUAAGAGCUUGCUCUUAUGAAGUUAGCGGCGGACGGGUGAGUAACACGUGGGUAACCUGCCCAUAAGACUGGGAUAACUCCGGGAAACCGGGGCUAAUAGCGGAUAACAUUUUGAACCGCAUGUAUCGAAAUUGAAAGGCGGCUUCCGCUGUCACUUAUGGAUGGACCCGCGUCGCAUUAGCUAGUUGGUGAGGUAACGGCUCACCAAGGCAACGAUGCGCAGCCGACCUGAGAGGGUGAUCGGCCACGCUGGGACUGGGACACGGCCCAGACUCCUACGGGAGGCAGCAGUAGGGAAUCUUCCGCAAUGGACGAAAGCCUGACGGAGCAACGCCGCGUGAGUGAUGAAGGCUUUCGGGUCGUAAAACUCUGUUGUUAGGGAAGAACAAGUGCUAGUUGAAUAAGCUGGCACCUUGACGGUACCUAACCAGAAAGCCACGGCUAACUACGUGCCAGCCGCCGCAGUAA
rnacentral:rRNA from 1 species